CCUACGGUGGGCAGCAGUAGGGAAUUUUCGGCAAUGGGGGGAACCCUGACCGAGCAACGCCGCGUGAACGAAGAAGUUAUUCGUAAUGUAAAGUUCUUUUAACAGGGAAGAAAGAGAAAUUUGACGGUACCUGAAGAAUAAGCUCCGGCUAACUACGUGCCAGCAGCCGCGGUAAUACGUAGGGAGCGAGCGUUAUCCGGAAUUAUUGGGCGAAAAGGGUGCGUAGAUGGCAUAGUAGGUCUUGUGUAAAAAUGCUGGGCUCAACCCAGUAGGGCAAAAGAUACUGCAAAGCUAGAGUAGGAGAGAGGCAAGUGGAACGACAGGGGUAGCGGUAAAAUGCGUAAAGAUAUGGAAGAACACAAGUGGCGAAGGCGGUUUGAUGGGUCGAGACUGACAUUGAGGCACGAAAGCGUGGGGAGCAAACAGGAUUAGAUACCCCAGGAGUC
rnacentral:rRNA from 1 species